rnacentral:rRNA from 1 species
AUUGAACGCUGGCGGCAUGCCUUACACAUGCAAGUCGAACGGCAGCACGGGAGCAAUCCUGGUGGCGAGUGGCGAACGGGUGAGUAAUAUAUCGGAACGUGCCCAGUCGUGGGGAUAACGUAGCGAAAGCUACGCUAAUACCGCAUACGAUCUACGGAUGAAAGCGGGGGAUCGCAAGACCUCGCGCGAUUGGAGCGGCCGAUAUCAGAUUAGGUAGUUGGUAAGGUAAAGGCUCACCAAGCCGACGAUCUGUAGCUGGUCUGAGAGGACGACCAGCCACACUGGGACUGAGACACGGCCCAGACUCCUACGGGAGGCAGCAGUGGGGAAUUUUGGACAAUGGGCGCAAGCCUGAUCCAGCAAUGCCGCGUGCAGGAUGAAGGCCUUCGGUUGGUAAACGUUAGCUUUGUUACGGUAACGAAAGG